rnacentral:rRNA from 1 species
GACAGAGGUGGCAAGCGUUGUUCGGAUUUACUGGGCGUAAAGAGCGCGUAGGCGGUUGCAUAUGUCAGAUGUGAAAUCCCAGGGCUUAACCCUGGAAUGGCAUUUGAAACUGUGCGACUUGAGGACAGGAGGGGGAAGUGGAAUUCCCGGUGUAGCGGUGAAAUGCGCAGAUAUCGGGAAGAACACCCGUGGCUAAGGCGGCUCUCUAGUACGGUACUGACGCUGAGACGCGAAAGCGUGGGGAGCGAACAGG